CUCCUCCACGGCUGUGGCCUAUCUCUAUGUUUCAACAGGAUUUCAUGGCACUACAGUGCCGCCAUAUCCUGCAAAUACUCAGUACAUCUCACCGGUAUGUGAUGAGUCCACGGUGGUGCAAAGCCAAAACAACAUGGUGUGCAAAUUUACCGACCAGCAGCCAAGGUUCAUGUGAAUUUAUUGUAAAUCAUAUCAGGAGGUUUGCGUGAACAAUCUACGCCCUUGCUGACUCUCAGAGACCAUCUAAUACAACUUCAUUCCAUUGCUGGGUUUUUCUCAAUUACUUCUGGAUAUUUCAGGAUAUGAUUUCAGUCAUCUUUUUGGAGUAUCAUCCCAUGGGUCAUGCAGGGUUCCUCCGUUCUCUCUUAUUGCCAUUAUUUUUCAACUGAUUACCUUUGAUACUACUCGGUGCAUCUUUGAAGUCCAGAGAACUUUUUGCAGGGAGGAAGAAAGAGUUGUUUGCACCACCGAAGAUAAUUUACACUUAAGAAGCAUGACAUUGACAAUGAGUAAUGAAUUUCUACUCCUGCAUAUUGUAGCCUUUUUUACAUCACCAUUUGUCUUCAGGUCAUUCAGGUCGUUUCAAUCCGCCAAGUGAGUCCAACUGUCAAAUAUUA